CCAUCUGUUCGGUCCAAAUCGUGCACGCCACGUCGAGGUGCAACCGUCCACUUCGAGGCCAAGAAGACCGGGUUCCCGGAGGUGGGCACUAUAUGUGCAUACGCCAAACUGUAGCCCAAUUCAUUCUUAUGAAAAGGGUCUUUCGUUUAUAUUGCUGCGAUUCGUAGUUUUUUAAAAAUAAAAUAUCUCCCAAACCCUUGUAUUUCACAGGUCUGCCCCCUUAAUGAUCUGCAUUUUGUCGUGGCGAGCGUCUGCAAUCAUGCAAAGAAAACAACAAGUUAGACAACUCAACGGCGCAUUAUGGCACAUCAACUCCAGAUGAAGAAGGAAGAAAAGAAUUUCAUGAGUCAGAGAUUUAGUUUCAAUAUUGUAUCAGACAGUCCGUCACCAAAUUUCCUAACCAGUACGAGAUUAUUUCUCGUCAAUUUUCCUUUUUAGUUUUUUUUUUUUCUGUUUUUCUUAAGGACGUGGUACGCCUUACUGCCAUAGUUUCGACUUUCGGCUGUUUCUUCAGUAAUGCCAACGUGAUGACUACAUAUUUUAUCAACACAACAUCUAUUCUUUAUAAUUUUUCUUUCUUUCUACUUAUUUUAUAAUCCUAUUGGGUAUCAGUAAAGAAAUCAAUAUACCGGUAUUUAAUUCUAAAGGCUCAAUACUAUGAUUUUUACAAUCAAUCAAUAACGUAAGUGUUCGUGACAUUAUUCAAAGGUUGCCACUGGCUUGGCGCUAUUUUGUAUCAUUCCCGUGUAUUUCAAGCAUCAAAUUUCACCUGACCAUGCUGAAUUCACGGUGGCCAUGCAAUCGAGUCUGAAUUCGUGCGGGGUAUCAAACCCCGCACCACAAAACAGAAUCCCCACUACAUGGAGGCAUGUGAACUGCUUGGGGCCUGGGGCGCUGGGCCGCGGGACCUCAAUGGGGCUUUCUGGUCGCUCCUCUGUGAAAAGAUAAGUGGAAUAGCAAUCAAGGAUCAGGACGAGGCAAAGAAGAAGAUGGUUAUCAUUUAGAAAUGAUAUAGUAACUUACCCUUAACACGUGUCCCCGCGAGGGGAAAGGAAACCGGGGUAGAUGAGAGAGGGGGUGUAAAAGGGGGAUCUUCGUCCCCCUCUGACCAUUGAUCAAUCACCUCCCAACCAUCGGGAAUGCUGCUGCCCGAAAAAUCGGGCAGCUCCCCCUCGGAAACCUGUUCUUCUUUAACGUUCAUGUUCUUGGGAAACUGGAAAGGAUAGACUAUUGAUAGAAAGAUUCUAACAGAAAAAGCUAGAACAGAAAAUUCUACGGGACACAAAGCAUUACUCACCAGUGCGGCCGUGGAGCCGGGAGCCGGGAGUCUGGCGCGUGUGUGCACACAGACACAGUCGCACACAUAUACACACGGAAGGAAUCAAGGCAAUGCAAGGCGAUAUUUAAGUAAUCGAUGAUGAUAAUUGGAUCUAAAAGACAAUUCGUGCACAAGUACAAAUCUACAAACAUUAGUAUUCUACACAAAGAUGAUUGCAAUCAUAGCACAUAUGGUUCUAAUAAUAAGGGUAAUAAUCAAAAUUUCUUAAUCAAACUUUCUGAUUCUACAUUACCAGUGAGGAAAUUCAAAUCAACAAUACAAUAAUAGUAACAAUUAUAAGGCUAAUUAUACUACUAGAAGUCAUCACUGGAGUCAGAUUCGUCGGAGGUUAGCUGCUGCCGCUCCUUAAUGAAAGUCUGAACAGUGUAUUCAAACACCUGACCGGAGAAAGGGUCAGUAAACCUCCUUAACACCUGAACAUCACUCCUCACCCACGGUUGCGGUGGGUGGGGGAGGUCCGGGACACAAUGUGCCACUAUGUCCGUUAAAAGGCUGAUCCGAACCCUAUAAAGGAACAUGCUGAGGUUGCCUCGCAGCAUGUUAGGGUUUUCAUUGAAAAGUUGUACAUGGUCGUCUAAAGUCCACGUGUUCAGUCCAAGCAUUACAUCGUUAAAAUCAAGAGCUGUUUCUUCUUUCCACCUAAAUACGUCAUAAUUUUCUGACCACAAGUCGAUGGUUGAAAGCCCCCAGCGUACCCGGGGCUCGAGCAGGGCGUAACGAGGGUCAUGUGCAUUAUCCAUAAAUUCGAGUCCAUUCUCCGGCGAAUAUGCCUCAAAUUCUGAAGCUAAUCUCCGUAGGAGAUAAUGAUGGGGAGCACUGUUCAGGUAAGCCGCGAAUUCCUCCCACGGCAUUGCAAGGAUUUCCUCAUGGGACUUCCAGAUAAAAGGUUGUUCCGCCAUUCUACACAAUUAAGUUCACCACGUGUUAACAGUUGUCUUGCUCUAGCGGGACUGGGACGCCAGCGCCUGCAAGGUGCAACAUGAGAUGAUAUGUUUAUGUCAUCAAAAUCUCAAUGAGCUGGAUAAUUGGCAACAUAGCGCCCCUGGUCGUCGAAAAAUUUCUGUCCUGUAUUAGUUUCCCCAAGGCAACCCUUCUCAUUCAAUAAUUUUGUAAAUUUUGUAAGUUACUGGGCAGUCAUCUCAUCAAUACGUAUAGGUCGGUCGAUUCGUGAUUACGAAUUCGAGCCGGCCUCGCGCUGGACCAGUCACGGCCUCCCUGAUUCUAAUGCUGGAGCGGUGAGCUAGUCAAUCGACAUCCACUUUUCUGAGGAACUUUCUAGUUUUACUUAUAACUUUUUAUGAGGACAACAAUUUCAACCCGUAUACUUUACAGAAUAAUAAUCAUAAGCUAUCUUUGCCGAAAUCAACUAAAAUAUUACCAUUCGUGCGCCCAUACCGCGACUCACGCAGUCACCCCAGUAAACCCAAGCAGCCGUUGCUUUGCGGGCUCUGGACUUCUGUCCGUGUGUCGGAUUCUGUGCGGACGAUUAAUUUUGAAAUAUGGGAUAUUUAUUAAUUUUAUUCAUCUCGCAACAGUUCUCAACUUCGAGAAACUGUACUGUAUUCUUCUGAGGAAUCAACAGGUCUUAUUAAAGGUCAGUUAACCGCAGCUAAUCUGCCCAUCUUCGCAUUUUUCAUUCAUUCUUAUUUCAACUUGUUCAGACUUUUAUCCAGGUAACCGCCUCGGAACAGUUCUUACGUAUCGUAAGAAUUGAAACUAUUCCUAGACUCCCCGUCGAGCUCGAAGGUGUGUCAUACACACCUGAUCAAUUCUAUUUCUUUCUUUUCAUUAUUUUCUUUGCAAUUCAUUUUUCAUUAAUUCUCUUGUUAUCAAUUUUCCAAUAUAAUUCCACUGUCUAUCAAUAUUAUCGGGGCCCCUUCCAAAUGAAAAUAUAUCCACCUGGUCAAAACAUUUCAACUCUCCUUCUUACUCUACCUCGAACUACUAGGCCUUUAUAGUUCCCUCCGAACUCUUCUUAAAUCUACAGUUGAAAAGUUCUGAUCAUCCGAUGUAUUUUCAUUUCAUUGAUAGUCUUUUACUUUUCUGUCUAUAUUCUCACUAUGCCUGUGUUCCUAUUCAUUCUUUUCUUUCUUUCAGAAAUCUAACAACUUGCGGGGAUUGUGAGUCCUCCCACGAGAAACAAACUAAUUUUACCUUUGUCCUCAAGUUCCUGUGGUCGACUGUAAGCUUUCUUUAAGUGCGAGACGUGGCAGUUUCUUCUCCAUAUCACACCAUUCUUGUGGCGGAGUGUCACCAGGCCAAGAACUCAUGUGACUUUGACUGUGGCCCUGCGUCUAUUGAAAGAAAACGGGCUCGACCAAAACGGCUGAAAAAGUCAUUCAAUCCAUCUUCGAGCGCAAUCCGAUCUGCUUUCACACAUGGAUACAAACCCAGCAUGAAAACGUCUUAAAGAAUAUUGUUGGCUGACUCUGGUCCAUAUACCAACUUUUGACCUUCAGCUCUUCUUUCUCCGUUUUGAUGUAAGACCUUCAAGUGGAAUUCACCUCUCCAGAAUUCUCUUCUUCCGACUCAACACCAGUUUGAUUGUUUGAAGUUACCUUGGCACGUCUGGGACCAUCUAGCUGGCAGUAAUAAUACUUGUGACCAUCUUCUUCGCCAUAUUGUUGUGAAAAGUACCUGUACUGAUGUUUCCCUUCUUCAUCCUUCCAAUUUUUGAAGAGUUCCCAGUUCUCAAAUUUAAGUACUUGAACUGGUAAUAUUUUUGCAUCAUUGGAGUGUGAAGCCUGCAAAGAA